UAGGGAAUAUUGGACAAUGGGGGCAACCCUGAUCCAGCCAUGCCGCGUGAGUGAAGAAGGCCCUCGGGUUGUAAAGCUCCUUUGUCCGGAAAGAAAAGCAUUCGGUGAAUACCCGGAUGUUCUGACGGUACCGGAAGAAUAAGCACCGGCUAACUUCGUGCCAGCAGCCGCGGUAAUACGAAGGGUGCAAGCGUUACUCGGAAUUACUGGGCGUAAAGCGUGCGUAGGUGGUUGUUUAAGUCUGAUGUGAAAGCCCUGGGCUCAACCUGGGAAUGGCAUUGGAAACUGGGCAGCUAGAGUGCGGUAGAGGGUAGUGGAAUUCCCGGUGUAGCAGUGAAAUGCGUAGAGAUCGGGAGGAACAUCUGUGGCGAAGGCGACUGCCUGGACAAGCACUGACACUGAGGCACGAAAGCGUGGGGAGCAAACA
rnacentral:rRNA from 1 species